rnacentral:rRNA from 1 species
UGGCGGACGGGUGAGUAAUGUCUGGGAAACUGCCUAAUGGAGGGGGAUAACUACUGGAAACGGUAGCUAAUACCGCAUAACGUCGCAAGACCAAAGAGGGGGACCUUCGGGCCUCUUGCCAUCGGAUGUGCCCAGAUGGGAUUAGCUAGUAGGUGGGGUAACGGCUCACCUAGGCGACGAUCCCUAGCUGGUCUGAGAGGAUGACCAGCCACACUGGAACUGAGACACGGUCCAG